rnacentral:rRNA from 1 species
CUUGCUUUCUCCGCCGGCGACCGGCGCACGGGUGAGUAACACGUAUGCAACCUGCCCCUGUCAGGGGGACAACCCGCCGAAAGGCGGGCUAAACCCGCGUACAUGCCACCGGGGCAUCCCGGAGGCAGGAAAGGCUUCGGCCGGACAGGGAUGGGCAUGCGGCGCAUUAGGCGGUAGGCGGGGUAACGGCCCACCUAACCGACGAUGCGUAGGGGUUCUGAGAGGAAGGUCCCCCACACUGGUACUGAGACACGGACCAGACUCCUACGGGAGGCAGCAG